AGUGAACGCUGGCGGUAGGCCUAACACAUGCAAGUCGAACGGCAGCACAGUAAGAGCUUGCUCUUACGGGUGGCGAGUGGCGGACGGGUGAGGAAUAUAUCGGAAUCUACUUUUUCGUGGGGGAUAACGUAGGGAAACUUACGCUAAUACAGCAUACGACCUACGGGUGAAAGCAGGGGAUCUUCGGACCUUGCGCGAUUGAAUGAGCCGAUGUCGGAUUAGCUAGUUGGCGGGGUAAAGGCCCACCAAGGCGACGAUCCGUAGCUGGUCUGAGAGGAUGAUCGGCCACACUGGAACUGAGACACGGUCCAGACUCCUACGGGAGGCAGCAGUGGGGAAUAUUGGACAAUGGGCGCAAGCCUGAUCCAGCCAUACCGCGUGGGUGAAGAAGGCCUUCGGGUUGUAAAGCCCUUUUGUUGGGAAAGAAAAGCAGCAGGUUAAUACCCCGCUGUUCUGACGGUACCCAAAGAAUAAGCACCGGCUAACUUCGUG
rnacentral:rRNA from 1 species